rnacentral:rRNA from 1 species
UACGUAGGGUGCGAGCGUUGUCCGGAAUUAUUGGGCGUAAAGGGCUCGUAGGCGGUUUGUCACGUCGGGAGUGAAAACUCGGGGCUCAACCCCGAGCCUGCUUCCGAUACGGGCAGACUAGAGGUAUGCAGGGGAGAAUGGAAUUCCUGGUGUAGCGGUGAAAUGCGCAGAUAUCAGGAGGAACACCGGUGGCGAAGGCGGUUCUCUGGGCAUUACCUGACGCUGAGGAGCGAAAGCGUGGGUAGCAAACAGG